rnacentral:rRNA from 1 species
AACGAACGCUGGCGGCGUGUUUAAGACAUGCAAGUCGCACGGGAUAAGACAUGUAGUAAUACUUGUUUUAUUUAGUGGCGCACGGGUGAGUAACACGUGAAUUACAAGCCCUAUAGUGGGGAAUAGCUCAGGGAAACUUGGAUUAAUACCCCAUGGUAUCGAAAGAUUAAAGGUGGCCGCAAGGCUGUCGCUAUAGGAUUGGUUCGCGCCCUAUCAGCUUGUUGGUGAGGUAACGGCUCACCAAGGCAAUGACGGGUACCUGGUCUGAGAGGACGAUCAGGCACACUGGAACUGAGACACGGUCCAGACACCUACGGGUGGCAGCAGUCGAGAAUAAUUCACAAUGGGGGCAACCCUGAUGGUGCAACGCCGCGUGGAGGAUGACGGUCUUCGGAUUGUAAACUCCUGUCAUCUGGGAGAAAGACCUGACGGUAAAUAGCCGGCAGGGUUGAUAGUACCAGAAGAGGAAGGGACGGCUAACUUCGUGCCAGCAGCCGCAGUAA